GUAAAAAUCGAGCCAAAACAUAAGAAAAUUCAUAAGAAAACUCUCAAGGCAAGUGGGCAUCAUGUGGGAUUUUCUCUCUCUAACUCACUUUUACUGAGAGCUCUUUCGAGAUUCUAUGGGUGGUGGUGCAUGACCAUUCUUAGUUGGUGAAGCGAUUUGUCUGGUUAAUUUCGUUAACGAACGAGACCUCAGUCUGCUAACUAGCUGCCGAGGUAUCCCUUCAUGGCCAGCUUCUUAGAGGGACUAUAGUCUUUUAGGCUAUGGAAGUUUAAGGUAAUAACAGGUAUGUGAUGCCCUUAGAUGUUCUGGGCCACAAGCACACUACAUUGAUGUAUUCAAUGAGUUUAUAGCCUUGGCCGACAGGUCCGGGUAAUCUUUGAAAUUUCAUCGUGAUGGGGAUAGAUCAUUGUAAUUGUUGGUCUUCAACUAGGAAUUCCUAGUAAGCGUAAGUCAUCAGCUUAUGUUGACUACAUCCCUACCCUUUGUUGACAAUGCCCGUCACUCCUACUGAUUGAAUGUUCUAGUGAAGUGUUCAUAUCGCAUCGACAUGGGCAGUCUGUUUCCCUCGACGUCGUGAGAAGUCUACCGAAUCUUAUCAUUUAGAGAAAGGAGAAGUUGUAACAAGGUUUUCAUAGGUGAAUCUAUGGAAG
rnacentral:rRNA from 1 species